rnacentral:rRNA from 1 species
UUUUUCUUGUAAUAUUAAUAUUAAUUUGAAAUAUGAUCUGUCCACUGAGUUAUUGAAGGGCCGCGGUAUUUUGACUGUGCAAAGGUAGCAUAAUAAUUAGUUUAUUAAUUGUGAACUUGAAUGAAUGAUUUAACAAAGUAUUAACUGUUUUUUUUUUAUUAAUGUUGAAUUUAGAAUUUAAAUAAAAAUGUUUAAAUAUAUUUAUGGGACGAGAAGACCCUAUAGAAUUUAAUUAUUUUUAUUAAUAGUUUUUAUUUAUUUUAAUAUUAGGUUAUAUUUAUAUAUAAUUUUUUUGGGGAAAUAGAUUAAUAUAUUUAAUUUUUGGUUAUUAUUUAAAUUAUAUAUAUAUAUAUAUAUUAUAUUUAUUGGUUGAGUAUUAUUAGUUACUAGAUUAAAUUACCUUAGGGAUAACAGCAUAAUUUUUUUGGAAAGUUCUGAUUGAUGAAUUAUUUUAUGA